CUCCGAUCACUCGACAU
rnacentral:rRNA from 1 species